rnacentral:rRNA from 1 species
GAUGAACGCUGGCGGCGUGCCUAAUACAUGCAAGUCGAGCGAACAGACGCGGAGCUUGCUCCUGUGACGUUAGCGGCGGACGGGUGAGUAACACGUGGAUAACCUACCUAUAAGACUGGGAUAACUUCGGGAAACCGGAGCUAAUACCGGAUAAUAUAUUGAACCGCAUGGUUCAAUAGUGAAAGACGGUUUUGCUGUCACUUAUAGCUGGAUCCGCGCCGCAUUAGCUAGUUGGUAAGGUAACGGCUUACCAAGGCAACGAUGCGUAGCCGACCUGAGAGGGUGAUCGGCCACACUGGAACUGAGACACGGUCCAGACUCCUACGGGAGGCAGCAGUAGGGAAUCUUCCGCAAUGGGCGAAAGCCUGACGGAGCAACGCCGCGUGAGUGAUGAAGGUCUUCGGAUCGUAAAACUCUGUUAUUAGGGAAGAACAAAUGUGUAAGUAACUAUGCACGUCUUGACGGUACCUAAUCAGAAAGCCACGGCUAACUACGUG